rnacentral:rRNA from 1 species
UACGGACCACACGAACGUUAUUCGGAAUUACUGGGCUUAAAGGGUGCGUAGGCUGUGCAGAAAGUUGGGUGUGAAAUCCCUCGGCUUAACCGAGGAACUGCGCCCAAAACUACUGUGCUUGAGAAAGAUAGAGGUAAGCGGAACUUAGGGUGGAGCGGUGAAAUGCGUUGAUAUCCUAAGGAACACCGGUGGCGAAGGCGGCUUACUGGGUCUUUUCUGACGCUGAGGCACGAAAGCUAGGGUAGCGAACGGG